UAGUCCACACCGUAAACGCUGUCUACUAACUGUGUGUGAAUUUAAUUCGUGCGUAGUGAAGCUAACGCGCUAAGUAGACCGCCUGGGGAGUACGGCCGCAAGGUUAAAACUCAAAUGAAUUGACGGGGGCCCGCACAAGCGGUGGAGCAUGUGGUUUAAUUCGAUGCAACGCGAAGAAUCUUACCUACUCUUGACAUACUGAGAACUUUCCAGAGAUGGAUUGGUGCCUUCGGGAGCUCAGAUACAGGUGCUGCAUGGCUGUCGUCAGCUCGUGUCGUGAGAUGUUGGGUUAAGUCCCGCAACGAGCGCAACCCUCAUCCUUAGUUGCCAGCAUUUAGUUGGGCACUCUAAGGAAACUGCCGGUGAUAAGCCGGAGGAAGGUGGGGGAUGACGUCAAGUCCUCAUGGCCCUUACAAGCUGGGCUACACACGUGCUACAAUGGCGAUGACAGUGAGCAGCUAACCCGCGAGGGCAAGCUAAUCUCUAAAAGUCGU
rnacentral:rRNA from 1 species